UACGUAGGGCGCAAGCGUUGUCCGGAAUUAUUGGGCGUAAAGAGCUCGUAGGCGGUUUGUCGCGUCUGCUGUGAAAAACCUAAGGCUCAACCUUGGGCUUGCAGUGGGUACGGGCAGACUAGAGUGCGGUAGGGGGUGACUGGAAUUCCUGGUGUAGCGGUGGAAUGCGCAGAUAUCAGGAGGAACACCGAUGGCGAAGGCAGGUCACUGGGCCGCAACUGACG
rnacentral:rRNA from 1 species